rnacentral:rRNA from 1 species
UACGGGGGGGGUAAGCGUUGUUCGGAAUUAUUGGGCGUAAAGGGCUCGUAGGCGGCCAACUAAGUCGGACGUGAAAUCCCUCAGCUUAACCGAGGAACUGCCUGUCAGACUGGAUUGCUUGAGGCCGGGAGAGGCGAGUGGAAUUCCCAGUGUAGCGGUGAAAUGCGUAGAUAUCAAGAGGAACACCAGUGGCGAAGGCGAGUCCCUGGACGAUACCUGACACUGAGGCACGAAAGCUAGGGGAGCAAACAGG